CCCUUUGACCAAAUCACCAUGAAUGCACCUGAUCUUGUCAGAUCUCGAAAGCUAAGUUGGAUUGAGUCUGAUUAAUCCCUGGAUGGGUAGUACCAGGUUUUGUAGGAUUGGGCUUUGAGGUGGUCAAAGAAU
rnacentral:rRNA from 1 species